rnacentral:lncRNA from 1 species
UAGUAGUAGUCCAACCUCUGAAGUUACCAUGAAGUUUGUGUUCGUAUAAGCAUGUCAAAUUUUAUGUUAGUUUCACUUUCCCAAUUGUCCAACAUCGUAAACAUUAGAGAAGCUUUUUCAAUUGACCAAACUUCGUAGUAGUCCAACUUCGCAUAAUUUAGGAGAAACUAACGAAAAACUUAGAAAAAACAAAAAGUUUAAUUUUGUCACUAAUCCCAAUUACU